GGCCUGGUGGCGUAACUGGUAACGCGCGCAUUUACUGUACGCUAUGGCGACACGUAAUCAGUUGAAUGCGAAACCCUCGUUCGAAUCGAGGUCAGGCCG